AGGUGCAGUAACAGAGAAGCCUCUCCCUAUUUAUAGCUCUCUGCUGCCUCAAAGGGGAAGCAUCAUGGAGCGGAGAGGGGCUCUGUGCGUUUGUGUGUGUGCACGCAGCCGAGGAUGCUUUUCAGCCAAGAUCAGAUGAAGACUGACAGCAGUGUGGACGACCACAGAGGGGACAGAGGGGACCUCUCACAAAAGAGGACUUCGCCAGGAGGAUGUUUACGGAGCUUAACACAGAGGCAAUUACGACCAAUCUCUGGAGACUGAAGAGCGCAUCAACCGAGACAAAUCUCUUCUGGAUGCACAUUUGGACAUUUCUGAAGACAGCAGUCACCACGAAAAGCGAAGACAGACGCUACGACUCUGAGAUGAUCAAAGCACUCAGGGUAGAGUGGUGACAAGCUUGCUCUUGAUUGCCUCUGAAAAGAAACAGAGUGAUCGAGUCAGUUGAGGAUUUCAGCAUGGCUGACCCUGCAGAAGGUUAUAAAUAA